rnacentral:lncRNA from 1 species
UACAAAAUUAGCCAGGUGUGUUGGCACAUGCCUGUAAUUCCAGCUACUCGGGAGGCUGAGGCAAGAGAAUUGCUUGAAUCCGGGAGGCGGAGGUUGCAGUGAGCUGAGAUUGCACCAUUGCACUCCAGCCUGGGCAACAAGAGCGAAACUCUAUCUCAAAAAAAAAAAAAAAAAAGAAAAAGAAAAAACCAAUAGACUGGAAAACACAGGCCUUCUGCCUUUCUUCCCGUUCCCUCUCUGACCUGCAGGUUAACAAAGAAUGCGUCCGAGGACUUUGGGCCGGGCAGCAGCAGGAGCUUAUAUUUCUUCGCAACCGCAAUCCGGAGCGCGGCAGUAUCCAGAACAAUAAGCAGGUCCUGCGGAACUUGAUUAACUCCUCCUGCGAUCAGCCCCUGGGGUACCCCAUGUAUGUCUCCCCACUAACCACAUCCUACCUAGGGACACACAGGCAGCUGAAGAACAUCUGGGGUGGACCCAUCACUUUGGACAGAAUUAGGACCUGGUUCUGGACCAAGUGGGUAAGGAUGCGGAAGGAUUGCAAUGCCCGCCAGCACAGUGGCGGCAACAUUGAAGACGUGGACGGAGGAGGGGCCCCGACGACAGGUGGCAACAAUGCCCCGAGUGGUGGCAGCCAGGAGA